GCUACAUGCCCGGCGAGUCCCAGGGUAUAAUACCCCGUGCGUUGUAACAGAUGGAUCAACGAGUUUGUUGCUCGAGGGAAUAGAAUACAAGGCCGUAAGUGCGGCUGCAGCGUUCAUACGCUGGGAAGAAAUUCUGUUGUGUCUCCCUGCUCCUUCUUCUUCUGUACUCCUCCUCGUCUACCUCCAGGCCGGUGUGUGUAGCCGUGCUCCGGUGUGUUGCCGAGCGACGGGGUGUGCCGAGCCAAGUGUGAGGGGCCUAGAAGAUGUAGUCUCCGUCGGGACCAUGAUGUGUGUCCGGUCGACGUGAGAGUUCUUCCGGGUUACCUCAUGUGUGUGUUCGAGUCGUAGAGAGAAAUAAAGCCAAGAUACAGGCGUUGGUGCGCCACGGUGUUCGUUGCUAGAAAAAUCAAGGUGUCUCCUUCAUCUGCCUUCGUCCGACAUUUGUGGCGCCGAAAGGCUGCCCGGCGUGUGUCGCCGGGGAGGAUUGGUCCAGGGUUUGUCAACAACAUUUGGUAUUCAGAGCCUCGUUGCGAAGGUGAUCGCCGGCGAUGUCGCUCAUCCCGUACACCGGCGGAUCGGGCAGCUCACUGCCGCAGCCGGUGCCGAUGCUCACCGGUGACAACUACACCGCAUGGGCAAUCAAAAUCGAGGCCAAUCUCGAUGCGGCUGGGCUGUGGGAGGCGGUGGUGGUGCCGGAGGACGCGACGGCGGCGGUGAUUGCCAAGAAGGACAAGCCGGCGCGGGCUUACCUGCUCGGGGCGCUCGCGGAGGAUCUGCUGCUUCAGGUGGCGUCGAAGAAGACGGCGGCGGAGGUGUGGAGCAGCCUCAAGGCGAGGUUCGUCGGGGCGGACCGAGUCCGGACGGCGCGGCUAGGCACUCUCCGAGGGGAGUUUGCGAUGCUGCACAUGGCGGAGGGCGACACGCUGGAUGGGUUCGCCGUCAAGCUCGGCGGCAUGGCGGCGCGCUACGCGGGACUCGGGUCGACGCUGGACGACGCCAUGAUGGUGAAGAAGCUCCUCGAUUCUGUGCCAGAUCGCUUGUACGCUGCGGUGGCCGGAAUCGAGCAGUUUUGCGACGUCUCCACCAUACUGUUCGAGGACGCGCUCGGUCGCCUGAAGGCCUUCGACGAGCGGCUGCGACGACGUGGACAGGCGGGCAGUGAGCGGGUGGACGGCCAGCUCAUGUACACGGCGGCGCAGUGGCGAGCACGGGAGCGGCAGCGUGGUGGUCCUCGGGACGACGACGACAGGCGGAGCAUGGCGUCGGGCUACGGUGGCAACAGGCGCGGCCGCUGCUACAAGUGCGGCGAGCGCGGCCAUUUCAAGCGAGAAUGCCCCCAGCUUCGGAAGGCGCCAGCGGAGGAGCAUGCGAUGAUGGCGGAUGCCGGCGUCGAGGACGGCGGCCUGUUCUGAGCCGCGUCUUAGGGGGAGAGUGUUGGGCAAAUAAGUCGCGACGGCGAGCCGGUCGAGUCUGGCGAGUGUAUGGGCGCGCGCUGGGCAUGACGGGCGCGUCGGGUCCGCGAGUGUGCGUAGGUAUGUAGUGCGUGUGUGUUCUGUUGGCGGGAUCGGGGGAGCGCCGGAGUCGGUCAUGCAUGAGCGGGCGCGCACGAUCAGGCCAUGCACGUGCAUGCGUGGGGCGUGGAUGGCGCGGGCUGGAAUGGCUGGGCGUGGACUGGGACGUGGCUACAUGCCCGGCGAGUCCCAGGGUAUAAUACCCCGUGCGUUGUAACAGAUGGAUCAACGAGUUUGUUGCUCGAGGGAAUAGAAUACAAGUCCGUACGUGCGGCUGCAGCCUUCGUGCGCUGGG
rnacentral:rRNA from 1 species